ACAACAGGACAGCUAUGACAAUACGGAACCUUCAGAGUGAGUAUACUACUCGCACUUCAUGCUUAUCUUUGUCAUUGCUCUUUAUCGAUUGAUAAAACUGCAUGAAGUACAUAUAUAGAUAAACAUUAUCUAUUUUAUGUAGUACUUAUUAUGUCUUUGAUAUGAAAGUGUAGCAAACGUCUAAUGUAAACCGUAUUAAUAUUUGAAUAUAAAUGCACGUAAAUGGCCAAACACAAGAUAAAGAAGACAAACCAGUUGAUUAUAAUAUUAAGACAGAUAACAGAAAAUUAAAAAAAAAACAUAAGUUUGAUGAACUGAAUUUGAUGAAAAGACACUUCCACAGACUGGUGAACGACGAAGGAAAGGAAAUAAGGAAAAGUCAAAAGGUUAUCUUAUCAAGAAUAACUAACGGCUGCAGAAAACACACAAACAAUAACCUGAAUGACCAAUAGGCAAGGAAAACUGAAAAAGUGUUUUUUUUUUUAUCUAAUGCUACAACACAUUGUUAUCUAGAAUGCCAAAAAUAACUGAUAACGAAGGACCAAUAAACAGAGCCACAGUUUACGAAUAUGCGUCUAACUUACUUCCUCCAGAAGACAUGAAUUUUCCAAUACCACCUCCUCCACCGCCUAUAGAUGAACCUACAGAAUCAAAAGCAACUGGAUGGAUGACGGAAGAACACAAAUAUCAAGCAGAAACAGAAUUAAGCUCUCAAAUACCAUCAUUAUCACUAUCAUUAUCAUCACCACCAACAACACCUCCACCAUCACCAUAACCUUCACCAACAAAAGAUGAAAUUGAAGUGGUAGCCGAUGAUGAAUGUGAUGAUAAUCAAUAAUCACUGAUGUAGUAAAUAAAACAUCCUAUAUGGCCUGUGUCUAGCAAAGGGUCUGAUGUCGUUAUAUGAGUCAUGUUAGGGGUCUUUGGUGGCUCAAUAAUAACCCUGACACCAGGGUUGAUGAGGUUGCUAAUCAACCACAUAACCCACACGAUAGAAGAAGCAGUGGGACGUAUAUCUAUAGGCAGUUUAUGUUUAUGUAGUAUAUGGUUUAUGUAUGCCUGUAGUAAGUAGAAUAUAAUGUAAUUGAACUCGGGAAUGCUACUAGCAUAGUGGGAACCUUUGGGAAGAGCGCGUUCCGCGGUGGUUUUUUUAUAUAUAUUUAAUUUAUAAUAUUGUGAACAAUAUGUAAAUUGAAUAUUAUGUACUUAAUAAAAAUAGGGUAUCAGUAACUGUCAGUACUAUUCAGAGGCGGAGGACAGGAGUCCUAGUAAGGCUUUGAAAUAGACUAAUACAGCGCCAUCCCACUCGCGUCAGACAGAGUACUGCGGAGCACUGCCCUAUUUUUCCCUAAACAAGGAGAAUGCUUCGCUGGCAAGAACGCUGGAAUUAGUGAUGAUAAAUAAAAAUAUUGUAAGACAUAA